rnacentral:lncRNA from 1 species
AUGGCAUGUGCCAUGUACUCUGGAUGUACUAGUUUGUUGUUUGUAUGGCAUGUGCCAUGUACUCUGGAUGUACUAGUUUGUUGUUUGUGUGACUUGUGCCAUGUACUCUGGAUGUACUAGUUUGUUGUUAAUUACCAAGUAUUUGCACUAUCAUUGAUGAAUGCCUGGCUAUGUUUGAGCAAAUCCUUUGUUUAGAUAUAAGCCAUAACUUGGAUGUACUAGUUCUGUCUAGUACUGUUUGUUUAUUUGUAUAGUCUUGUU